rnacentral:rRNA from 3 species
CUCAUUAAAUCAGUUAUCGUUUAUUUGAUAGUACCUUACUACAUGGAUAACCGUGGUAAUUCUAGAGCUAAUACAUGCUAAAAACCCCGACUUCGGAAGGGGUGUAUUUAUUAGAUUAAAAACCAAUGCCCUUCGGGGCUCUCUGGUGAUUCAUAAUAACUUCUCGAAUCGCACGGCCUUGCGCCGGCGAUGGUUCAUUCAAAUUUCUGCCCUAUCAACUUUCGACGGCUGGGUCUUGGCCAGCCAUGGUGACAACGGGUAACGGAGGGUUAGGGCUCGACCCCGGAGAAGGAGCCUGAGAAACGGCUACUACAUCCAAGGAAGGCAGCAGGCGCGCAAAUUACCCAAUCCCGACUCGGGGAGGUAGUGACAAUAAAUACUGAUACAGGGCUCUUUUGGGUCUUGUAAUUGGAAUGAGUACAAUUUAAAUCCCUUAAC